GACGAACCACACAAACGUUAUUCGGAAUUACUGGGCUUAAAGGGUGCGUAGGCGGCGUGGCAAGUUGGGUGUGAAAUCCCUCAGCUUAACUGAGGAACAGCGCCCAAAACUACCAUGCUCGAGGGAGAUAGAGGAAUGCGGAACUUAGGGUGGAGCGGUGAAAUGCGUUGAUAUCCUAGGGAACACCGGUGGCGAAAGCGGCAUUCUGGAUCCCUUCUGACGCUGAGGCACGAAAGCCAGGGUAGCAAACGGG
rnacentral:rRNA from 1 species